rnacentral:rRNA from 1 species
GAUGAACGCUAGCUACAGGCUUAACACAUGCAAGUCGAGGGGUAGCAGGAAAGAAGCUUGCUUUUUUCGCUGACGACCGGCACACGGGUGAGUAACACGUAUCCAAUCUGCCUAUUACUCGGGGAUAGCCUUUCGAAAGAAAGAUUAAUACUCGAUAGUAUAAGGAAAUCGCAUGGUUUUCUUAUUAAAGAAUUUCGGUAAACGAUGGGGAUGCGUUCCAUUAGAUAGUAGGCGGGGUAACGGCCCACCUAGUCUACGAUGGAUAGGGGUUCUGAGAGGAAGGUCCCCCACACUGGUACUGAGACACGGACCAGACUCCUACGGGAGGCAGCAGUGAGGAAUAUUGGUCAAUGGACGCAAGUCUGAACCAGCCAAGUAGCGUGAAGGAUGAAGGUUCUAUGGAUUGUAAACUUCUUUUAUAUGGGAAUAAAAUCAUCUACGUGUAGAUGCCUGUAUGUACCAUAUGAAUAAGGACCGGCUAACUCCGUGCCAGCAGCCGC